AACGAACGCUGGCGGCAUGCCUAACACAUGCAAGUCGAACGAUGCCUUCGGGCAGAGUGGCGCACGGGUGCGUAACGCGUGGGAGUCUGCCUUUCGGUUCGGAAUAACUCAGGGAAACUUGAGCUAAUACCGGAUAACGUCGCAAGACCAAAGAUUUAUCACCGAAAGAUGAGCCCGCGUAGGAUUAGCUAGUUGGAGAGGUAAAGGCUCACCAAGGCGACGAUCCUUAGCUGGUCUGAGAGGAUGAUCAGCCACACUGGGACUGAGACACGGCCCAGACUCCUACGGGAGGCAGCAGUGGGGAAUAUUGGACAAUGGGCGAAAGCCUGAUCCAGCAAUGCCGCGUGAGUGAUGAAGGCCUUAGGGUUGUAAAGCUCUUUUACCCGGGAAGAUAAUGACGGUACCGGGAGAAUAAGCCCCGGCUAACUCCGUG
rnacentral:rRNA from 1 species